rnacentral:rRNA from 1 species
UACGUAGGGGGCUAGCGUUGUCCGGAUUUAUUGGGCGUAAAGAGCGUGUAGGCGGCCAGAUAGGUCUGCUGUGAAAACUCGAGGCUCAACCUCGAGAUGUCGGCGGAAACCAUUUGGCUAGAGUCCGGAAGAGGAAAGUGGAAUUCCUGGUGUAGCGGUGAAAUGCGCAGAUAUCAGGAGGAACACCGAUGGCGAAGGCAGGUCUCUGGGCAUUAACUGACGCUGAGGAGCGAAAAGCAUGGGGAGCGAACAGG